rfam:Plasmodium falciparum Vietnam Oak-Knoll (FVO) unplaced genomic scaffold supercont1.128, whole genome shotgun sequence.
AAACCACAUGAUGAAAAUAAUUGAUACGAUGAACUUGCGAGUCCUGAGUAUAACUGAACUCAACAAUUACUCAGUUGAGCGUAGGUUUGAUAUGAAAUUAAAAUAAAUUCUGAAAUUAAAUUCUCU